GCCUGGGUGGCUCAGUCGGUUGAGCGGCUGACUUCAGCUCAGGUCAUGAUCUCAUGGUCUGUGGGUUCAAGCCCCGCAUCGGGCU
rnacentral:tRNA from 1 species